rnacentral:rRNA from 1 species
ACGGGAGGCAGCAGUAGGGAAUCUUCCACAAUGGGCGAAAGCCUGAUGGAGCAACGCCGCGUGAGUGAAGAAGGAUUUCGGUUCGUAAAACUCUGUUGUAAGGGAAGAACAAGUACAGUAGUAACUGGCUGUACCUUGACGGUACCUUAUUAGAAAGCCACGGCUAACUACGUGCCAGCAGCCGCGGUAAUACGUAGGUGGCAAGCGUUGUCCGGAAUUAUUGGGCGUAAAGCGCGCGCAGGUGGUUUCUUAAGUCUGAUGUGAAAGCCCACGGCUCAACCGUGGAGGGUCAUUAGAAACUGGGAGACUUGAGUGCAGAAGAGGAUAGUGGAAUUCCAAGUGUAGCGGUGAAAUGCGUAGAGAUUUGGAGGAACACCAGUGGCGAAGGCGACUAUCUGGUCUGUAACUGACACUGAGGCGCGAAAGCGUGGGGAGCAAACAGGAUUAGAUACCCUGGUAGUCCACGCCGUAAACGAUGAGUGCUAAGUGUUAGGGGGUUUCCGCCCCUUAGUGCUGCAGCUAACGCAUUAAGCACUCCGCCUGGGGAGUACGGUCGCAAGACUGAAACUCAAAGGAAUUGAC